AAUGAACGCUGGCGGCAGGCCUAACACAUGCAAGUCGAGCGGACGAAGGGAGCUUGCUCCUGGCUUCAGCGGCGGACGGGUGAGUAAUGCCUAGGAAUCUGCCUGGUCGAGGGGGCUAACGUACGGACACGGGACCUAAUAUAGCAUCCGUCCUGAUGGUGAAAGGGGGGGUUCAUCGGACCACAAGGUACUAGCUGUGCCUUGGUCGGAUUAGCUAGUUGGUGUGGUAAAGGCCUACCAAGGCGACGAUCCGUAACUGGUCUGAGAGGAUGAUCAGUCACACUGGAACUGAGACACGGUCCAGACUCCUACGGGAGGCAGCAGUGGGGAAUAUUGGACAAUGGGCGAAAGCCUGAUCCAGCCAUGCCGCGUGUGUGAAGAAGGUCUUCGGAUUGUAAAGCACUUUAAGUUGGGAGGAAGGGCAGUAAGUUAAUACCUUGCUGUUUUGACGUUACCAACAGAAUAAGCACCGGCUAACUUCGUG
rnacentral:rRNA from 1 species